AUUGAACGCUGGCGGCAUGCCUUACACAUGCAAGUCGAACGGUAACAGGUCUUCGGAUGCUGACGAGUGGCGAACGGGUGAGUAAUACAUCGGAACGUGCCCGAGAGUGGGGGAUAACGAAGCGAAAGCUUUGCUAAUACCGCAUACGAUCUCAGGAUGAAAGCAGGGGACCGCAAGGCCUUGCGCUCACGGAGCGGCCGGUGGCAGAUUAGGUAGUUGGUGGGAUAAAAGCUUACCAAGCCGACGAUCUGUAGCUGGUCUGAGAGGACGACCAGCCACACUGGGACUGAGACACGGCCCAGACUCCUACGGGAGGCAGCAGUGGGGAAUUUUGGACAAUGGGCGCAAGCCUGAUCCAGCCAUGCCGCGUGCAGGAUGAAGGCCUUCGGGUUGUAAACUGCUUUUGUACGGAACGAAAAGACUCUGGUUAAUACCUGGGGUCCAUGACGGUACCGUAAGAAUAAGCACCGGCUAACUACGUGCCAGCAGCCGCCGUAA
rnacentral:rRNA from 1 species